ensembl:snoRNA
CAUCCCAUUGAUUUGCUGCUGUGGUCUCUUAGUAAUAUGAGCAGUUCUACACAUGGGAAAGAAAAGAGCAAUAUUAAGACAUUGUAAAUGGAGAUGGAGUAACCAUUUCAUCCAUUAUGCACAGUUCAGACAUUG